AGCAGCCGCGGUAAUUCCAGCUCCAAUAGCGUAUAUUAAAGUUGUUGCAGUUAAAAAGCUCGUAGUUGAACUUCAGACCUGGUCGAGUGGUCCGCCUAACGGUGUGUACUGCUUGACUGGGCCUUACCUCUUGGUGAGCCGGCGUGCCCUUUACUGGUGUGCGUCGGGGAACCAGGACUUUUACCUUGAGAAAAUUAGAGUGUUCAAAGCAGGCCUAUGCCUGAAUACAUUAGCAUGGAAUAAUAGAAUAGGACGUGCGGUUCUAUUUUGUUGGUUUCUAGAGUCGCCGUAAUGAUUAAUAGGGAUAGUUGGGGGCAUUGGUAUUGAGUCGCUAGAGGUGAAAUUCUUGGAUUGACUCAAGACCGACUACUGCGAAAGCAUUUGCCAAGGAUGUUUUCAUUAAUCAAGAACGAAAGUUAGGGGAUCGAAGACGAUCAGAUACCGUCGUAGUCUUAACCAUAAACUAUGCCGACUAGGGAUCGGAUGAUGUUAAUUUUAUAAUGACUCA
rnacentral:rRNA from 1 species